UCUCUCUCUCUCUCUCUCUCUCUCUCUCUCCAGAAAAUUAGGAUAUGAAAAUAAGAACAUGGAGGACAUUCAAUCUCUUCUUAAUAUUGCAAUUUCAUUUCUUGUUUUCAUGGAAUCAUGAGUUUUUUGAAGAUCAAAACUUUCCCCAAGUCUUUUUAGUCUUGACCAAUGGAGCAAGAGAGAAGACACGAGAGAGGAUUUCAAAUGAGUCAUCAGAAGAGAGCUGCUGCAGUAUUAAUGACAGAUUGCUUCUUCUUCGCAUGCAAAUAUGUCAAAAGAUUAGGGUAUCUUGAAGAGAUGAUUAAUUCUUUUGUUCCGGAUCAACAACGCAAUCCAAGCCCAAAAUCGGCCAGAGUUCAAUCACUCGCAGACCCCACCGAUCGGAAUUGCUACUCUGUCACCUGCUUGGAAUCGACCUCCGCAACAAAUCGAUGUCAACCCCAACCGAUUGACGCUCUUUGCCGGUCGCUGAUACUCUAGAGAAUCUUGCACCUCCCUUCGCAAAACCCACCUUGCAACCACUGACAGUCCUGAAACCAGAGCCGCCGCAACUCGUCAACCACUGUGUGGCGACGCUGGACCCGGCGUGAAUCCACCGCAAGACUAGGGUUUUACUCUCGCUCUCCCUCUUUUUGAAUUAUAUUGUGUCUUGCAACUUACAAGGUAUGCUAAUCAAUUUUCAGGUAACGUAAUACUGUAAUAGUUGCUAGGGGGAGAGGGACGGGAGAGAUUGGCUGGUUAUAUGCUAAUUGUAACAAUUUUUUAUAAUAUUUAGUUUUGAUGAGAAUGUAAAGUGAUAGGGGCUUAUUUAUGCUUCAAAUUCAAGGAGCUGUAGCCAGUAGGAAUUUUUGUAUCCACCUUUUGAUUUCUAAUUCUGUUACCAUAAUUGAUCAUUUAUCCUGGGAUGAGUUUAA